rnacentral:hammerhead_ribozyme from 1 species
AUCCAGAUGACGAGUCCCAAAUAGGACGAAAUUCGCACCUUGCAACUGUAU